rnacentral:rRNA from 1 species
AUGCAGACAAAAGCAGGAGGAAACAAAAACGGCUCUAUGGUGUCAAAUGAGAUUGCUUCUGACAAUGAUUCUGAUUCCGAGGAUGAUCUUUCUUCGUCGUUGUUGCAAAAAGCCUUUGAAAUUGCUGUUACAACUGCUGGAGAACAAAAGAACAGUGGUGCAGCUGGUGAAGUUCAAAAAUUAACACAGGAAGACAUACUGAUAUUCCUUGAAAAUGACAGUAUAGAAGCUGCUCAAAGUGCUAGCCAAGAAGUGCGCAGCCAUCACGUACCCCAUGUGGACAUGGUCUUUGAUACGGGUGAUGCAUCUUACAACUUUUACAAUGAGUAUGCCUCAAUUGCUGGUUUUUCUGUGAUUAAAGCAUCUCGGUAUUGUGGCAAGAAACAAGGAGGCAGUGCAGCAACUCGGGUAACUUUCAAGUGCAAUCGGUCAGGAAAACUAAUUGAUGAAGAAGAACAAGAGAAUAGGAAGAAGAAACGACAUGACACAAGGCAACAGAAGACAGGACAAGAGCCCUAUCGCAACGCAAGGAAGAAAAAAGCAAACACCAUUGCAAUAACAGGGUGUAAAGCUCAGCUUAUUGUCACCAAGAAGGAUGAGAAGUGGGUGAUAACAACCAUAAACCUAGAGCACAACCAUGAUUUGAGUCCUCACAUAGAAGUGAAAUACCUUCGUUCUCAUAACUACACAACAGACGAGGAGAAGCUCCUAAUCCGAACUUUCAAUGUUGUGAAGCUACAAACAAGACAAAUAAUAGCAAUCCUAAGUUACUUGAGAGGCGGGAACACUCAUUACACCAAAAAGCAUGUAAGCAAUGUUAGAACAACCAUUGGCAAAGAGAGUAAUCAAAAUGACAUGAUGUAG